CUCUCUCUCUAUUUAUAUUCUUUCCACCUUCUCUUCAGAUUCGAAACCCGUCUCUACACACCUUCACCUUUUCUCUCUUUUUGUAUAAAAAUUUCAGUAUUUUUAAUUGAAUCAAUCGAAUUGAAAGAACAAAGUAAGAGAAAAAAAAGGGGGCCUUUUCGGGGAGGAUGAACACGCCCUCUGUUCUUCUUAUGCCUCCUCUCAGAUCUUAGAUUGCCGGGAUUUCGCAUCUGGGUUUCUUCCAAUCGAAAUCUUGGUUACGGCUUCAUUGAUCCAUGAAGGAUCCGAUGUUCUUGGAUUGAAUUCGAGAAUACCCGUUUCAUAUCUGAUAUACUAUCUAACCCUCUCCUGGGUAAUUAUUGGAUAAGAAAAUGGAAUCGGAUCUUGGCAAGCUCUUCAUCGGUGGAAUUUCUUGGGAUACAAAUGAAGAUCGUCUGAAGGAAUAUUUCAGAACUUAUGGGGAAGUGGUCGAGGCUGUCAUCAUGAAGGAUCGGACCACAGGUCGUGCUCGUGGGUUUGGUUUUGUUGUCUUUGCAGACCCUGCCGUUGCAGAAAGGGUUGUAAUGGAAAAACAUACGAUAGAUGGUAGAACAGUUGAGGCAAAGAAGGCAGUUCCUAGGGAUGAUCAACACAUUCUGAAUAGAAGCAACAGUAGCAUUCAUGGAUCACCGGGUCCUGCCCGCACUAAAAAGAUAUUUGUAGGAGGUUUAGCAUCCACAGUCACAGAGAGCGAUUUUAAAAAGUACUUUGAUCAGUUUGGGAUAAUCACUGAUGUUGUGGUGAUGUAUGACCACAACACCCAGAGGCCAAGAGGCUUUGGAUUCAUUACUUAUGAUUCAGAGGAAGCAGUGGAGAAGGUGUUGCUGAAAACUUUUCAUGAACUGAAUGGAAAAAUGGUUGAGGUCAAGAGGGCCGUUCCCAAAGAGUUGUCCCCAGGGCCUAGUCGCAGUCCACUUGGUGGCUAUAACUAUGGUAUGAGUAGGGUGAAUAGCUUCCUUAAUGGCUACACUCAGGGGUAUAAUCCAAGCUCAAUUGGUGGCUAUGGAGUUAGGAUGGAUGGUAGAUUUGGUCCAGUUGCUGGUAGUCGGAGUGCAUUUCCCUCAUUUGGCCCUCCUGGUUAUGGAAUGGGUGUGAAUUUUGAGACAGGGUUGAGCCCUAGCUAUGGGGGAAACACAAACUUCGGCACUAGUCUUGGCUAUGGACGGGGAUUGAAUCCAUAUUACAGUGGGAACUCAAAUAGAUUUGGCAGCCCUAUUGGGUACAGCGGGGGUAAUGGAGGAAGUGGUUCUGUUUUAAACUCAACAAGUAGAAAUGUGUGGGGUAAUGGAGGACUUAAUUAUGCCACAAACUCUGCAAGCACUAGUUCUUACAUGGGUUCUGGAAAUGGUAGCAUUGGAGGAGGUUCGUUUGGCAAUAGUGGAGCAAAUUGGGGUUCAUCUUCUUCCAUUUCGGCUCAAGGUGGAGGGACUGGUUCUGGCUAUUCUAGUGGGAAUCUUGGUUAUGGAAGUGGGGAUAACAGUUAUGGGUUGGGAGGGGGAGGAUAUGGAAGAAACAGUGGAACUGGUGUGGCCCCAACAUCAUCAUAUGCUGCAUCAAACGGUGGUUAUGAUGGGGCAUACGGAGACUUUUAUGGUGGCGGUUCAGUUUAUGGGGACCCCACUUGGCGGUCUGCAUCUUCAGAUCUGGAUGGGCCUGGUUCAUUUGGUUAUGGGCUUAGCAAUGCAGCAUCGGAUGUUUCCGCUAAAAGUUCUGCAGGCUAUGUUGGAGGUUACAGUGUUACUAAUAGACAAUCAAAUAGAGACUUAUUUUAUAUAGAAUGACUUGCGGGUUCUAGGUCCCCUGCUUGACAUGCCUUGCAUGAUUUUCUCAACCUGGACCAUCGGGAAUCGCUGCUUAGGAGUAUUAUCAUUUGGAUGUCAGGAAGUUGUAGGUCAAGAAACUCUGAUGAACCAGGUGAAUGACUGUGAAUUUCGUACAUCUCCGUCGUUUAUAUAAAUCAGUUAGAAGGAAAUUGAUUAUCUAGAGCUAACUGGAUUGCUGUUUUGAAGAAGUCGGAUUCAGAAAAAAGCAGUUACAAGGGAUUUUGUGUAAGGUUUGAGAAAUUUGAGUUUUAAAUUUAGGUUUUCCUUAUUGGGAUUUGAUUGAGAUGUAAAAUCAGAUUGCGGGAUAUAUUCAGAAAGAGUUGUUCCGAUUAAUGUAUCGUGCAUCUCUAGUGACGCAGCGAUGCAUACACAAUAGACUUUUUUUUUUUCUUUUAAAUUUUUUUCCUGCUGUAACGUCUCUGGCAAAGUUGUUGGUUCGUGUCAGGUAUGUUUCGUUUUUUGGGUUUUGUUUUUUUCUCAGAUUGUACCAGAGGAUCUGGUUUAUUACUAGUGUGAAACUUUUGAGGGAUACCUAUCUGGGGACCCAAUAAUAAGUUACCAAAUAUUCUGAUUCAA